rnacentral:rRNA from 1 species
GACGAACGCUGGCGGCGUGCUUAACACAUGCAAGUCGAACGGAAAGGCCCUGCUUUUGUGGGGUGCUCGAGUGGCGAACGGGUGAGUAACACGUGAGUAACCUGCCCUUGACUUUGGGAUAACUUCAGGAAACUGGGGCUAAUACCGGCUAGGAGCUCCUGCUGCAUGGUGGGGGUUGGAAAGUUUCGGCGGUUGGGGAUGGACUCGCGGCUUAUCAGCUUGUUGGUGGGGUAGUGGCUUACCAAGGGUUUGACGGGUAGCCGGCCUGAGAGGGUGACCGGCCACAUUGGGACUGAGAUACGGCCCAGACUCCUACGGGAGGCAGCAGUGGGGAAUAUUGCACAAUGGGCGGAAGCCUGAUGCAGCAACGCCGCGUGCGGGAUGACGGCCUUCGGGUUGUAAACCGCUUUCGCCUGUGACGAAGCGUGAGUGACGGUAAUGGGUAAAGAAGCACCGGCUAACUACGUG